rnacentral:rRNA from 1 species
GGCUAACUCCGUGCCAGCAGCCGCGGUAAUACGGGAGGGUGCGAGCGUUAAUCGGAAUUUACUGGGCGUAAAGCGCAUGCAGGCGGCCUGUUAAGUCAGAUGUGAAAGCCCGGGGCUUAAACCUCGGAAUUGCAUUUUGAAACUGGCAGGCUAGAGUCUUGUAGAGGGGGGUAGGAAUUUCAGGUGUAGCGGUGAAAUGCGUAGAGAUCUGAAGGAAUACCAGUGGCGAAGGCGGCCCCCUGGACAAAGACUGACGCUCAGAUGCGAAAGCGUGGGGAGCAAACAGGAUUAGAUACCCCUGGUAG